GGAUUAGAUACCCGGGUAGUCCACGCCGUAAACGAUGGAUGCUAGCUGUUAGGAGUAUCGACCCUUCUAGUAGCGAAGCUAACGCGUUAAGCAUCCCGCCUGGGGAGUACGGUCGCAAGAUUAAAACUCAAAGGAAUUGACGGGGACCCGCACAAGUGGUGGAGCGUGUUCUUUAAUUCGAUGUUAAGCGAAGAACCUUACCAGGACUUGACAUCCUUGGAAUCUUUGGGAAACCAGAGAGUGCCUUUUGGAGCCAAGUGACAGGUGUUGCAUGGCCGUCGUCAGCUCGUGUCGUGAGAUGUUUGGUUAAGUCCAUUAACGAGCGCAACCCUUAUGAUUAGUUGGAUUUUUCUAAUCAGACUGCCUCGGCAACGGGGAGGAAGGAGGGGAUGAU
rnacentral:rRNA from 1 species